AUGAAGGAAGGAAGGAAGGAAGGGUGGGAAGGAGGAGGGAAGGAAGGAGAGAAGGAAGGAGGGAGGGAAGGAAGGAAGGAGACCUCCAGCGCUUCCUGGGCAACUUCCGGUAGGUUCCGCCGGAAUCUGCUCCCGUUUCCUUCCAUCCUUCCCUGCUCCUCUUUCCCUCCUUCCUUCCUUCCUUCCCUGCACCUGUUUCCUGCCUUCUUUUCUUCC
rnacentral:miRNA from 1 species